rnacentral:rRNA from 1 species
CAGCCGCCGCGGGAAUACGAAGGGGGCUAGCGUUGCUCGGAAUUACUGGGCGUAAAGGGCGCGUAGGCGGACAGUUCAGUCGGGGGUGAAAGCCCGGGGCUCAACCUCGGAAUUGCCUUCGAUACUGGCUGUCUUGAGUAUGAGAGAGGUGUGUGGAACUCCGAGUGUAGAGGUGAAAUUCGUAGAUAUUCGGAAGAACACCAGUGGCGAAGGCGACACACUGGCUCAUUACUGACGCUGAGGCGCGAAAGCGUGGGGAGCAAACAGGAUUAGAUACCCCAGUAGUCCCUGUCUCUUAUAC